GACGAACGCUGGCGGCGUGCUUAACACAUGCAAGUCGAACGGAAAGGCCCUGCUUGCAGGGUACUCGAGUGGCGAACGGGUGAGUAGCACGUGGGUGAUCUGCCCUGCACUUCGGGAUAAGCCUGGGAAACUGGGUCUAAUACCGGAUAGGAGCCAUUUUUAGUGUGAUGGUUGGAAAGUUUUUUCGGUGUAGGAUGAGCUCGCGGCCUAUCAGCUUGUUGGUGGGGUAAUGGCCUACCAAGGCGGCGACGGGUAGCCGGCCUGAGAGGGUGGACGGCCACAUUGGGACUGAGAUACGGCCCAGACUCCUACGGGAGGCAGCAGGGGGGAAUAUUGCACAAUGGGCGCAAGCCUGAUGCAGCGACGCCGCGUGGGGGAUGACGGCCUUCGGGUUGUAAACUCCUUUCGCUAGGGACGAAGCUUUUUGUGACGGUACCUAGAUAAGAAGCACCGGCUAACUACGUG
rnacentral:rRNA from 1 species